rnacentral:rRNA from 1 species
AGGGUUUGAUCAUGGCUCAGGACGAACGCUGGCGGCGUGCCUAAUACAUGCAAGUCGAGCGGAGUCAUAAGAGAUGCUUGCAUCUCUAAUGACUUAGCGGCGAACGGGUGAGUAACACGUGGGUAACCUACCCAUCACAGGGGGAUAACAUUCGGAAACGGAUGCUAAUACCGCAUAGGUUCUUUGACCGCAUGGUCGAAGAAGGAAAAGAGGCCUUAGUGCUUCUGGUGAUGGAUGGACCCGCGGCGUAUUAGCUAGUUGGUGAGGUAAAGGCUCACCAAGGCAUUGAUACGUAGCCGACCUGAGAGGGUAAUCGGCCACAUUGGGACUGAGACACGGCCCAAACUCCUACGGGAGGCAGCAGUAGGGAAUCUUCCGCAAUGGACGAAAGUCUGACGGAGCAACGCCGCGUGAGUGAAGAAGGUUUUCGGAUCGUAAAACUCUGUUGUUAGAGAAGAACAAGUGCUAGAGUAACUGCUAGCGCCAUGACGGUAUCUAACCAGAAAGCCACGGCUAACUACGUGCCAGCCGCCGCGGUAAUAC